CCGUCCGUCCCUGGGGAUCCAUUGGUGCCACCCAGCUGGGAGCCAGCAUGGCCUGGCUCAUGGAAACUCUGAUGCAAGGUUGAAUUUUCCUGGGGCUCCAGGAUGAAGCAGCUGCAGGGGCAGGCAGUGGAAAGUAUGAACAGCUCCUGCCUGGGGUUGUGCAAUGCAGAGAAAUCAGCUCAGGGCAGGGAUCUAUCCCAACACUAAAGCUCCUCAGCUCACCCAGAGCAACUGAAGUGCAGGAAUUCUUCCCAGGAGGUGUCAGGAGAGGUUGUUCCUUGAUCUGUGCCUUCCUUCCUCAGCUUCCAAAGUGCAAUUCUGUCCUUCCCCACUGCUCUGCAGGGAUGUUUCAUCUCCCCUGCUGGGAAAAAGGCACAUCCAGACAUUUCUCUAGCAGAAGUUGGAAAGAGAUGCAGAACUGUGGUGGCUUUCAGCAAGUGGGAGUUCCUAACCCAAAAUCCACUGCCUGGAAUAUUCAGGAAUUUAAAAUAUUUUAAAGAAUUAUUUUCUAAUGCUGAAAUGUUUGCUCCAUUAAUCAAACAGGUGGGUUCUUGCCAUAUGAAUAAAUAGAAAUAAAAUGCAUCCUCAGAGCUCUGUUGUUAUAUACCUUCAGAGCUUUAAAUGCCUGGGUGCUGCUGAUGUGUCACUAAUUAAUGUCUAAGAUAAUUACAGUGUGCCAGGCAUUAACCUCAUCAAAAAUGCAGGUGAUUUGAGAUAAAUUCCAGACUCUUCUGUGGCUCCUUUUAUUAUCUUGUAUUAUAUUUUAUUAUUUUAUCAGGGGCUUGGAUGGGAUUGUGGAAGGGGUUUGGAUUUAGAUGAUUUUUAAAGUCUCUUCCAACCAAGCCAUUCCAUGAUCUUUAGUAGUGCUUUUGAAAUGCUUUUGAAAUUUCCAGGUACACUUGGUUUGUUCUUUGAAAUGCAGAAACUUCUUGUAAUUGCUUUGAGUUUUUUCCUACCCUCCCAGAACAUUCUUAGAAAAUAUUUUUGAAGUUUCUCUUCCAUUCUUCCUUCUGUGACUGCAGUGGAAAAUGUCAUUCUUUAAAGAUCACAGAAAUACCAGCCUGCUCUGACCAGCUCCUGUUGUUUUCCAAAGCUUUCUGUGUUAAAGUUGAGUUUUUUAUUUCCUUUUGUUUUCCCCUUAGUCACAGAGGAUGUGUCAGAGGAUGAACACGUAACUUCUGCUUUGCCUGGGAUGAUAUCUUUAAUAUUAGAGUUAAACAAAUCCUGCUGUCAUGUUGGAAGGAACUAGAAAUUAAAAGAACCCCAAACACCUGCUGUUUUCAUCCUUAUCUUUGCUCUCCCUCAAGUCAGAGUUUUGGCAUAAUGCAGCUGCAUUUUUCAUGAUAAUAAAUUGUUAAGUACAGAAGUCUUUUUCAUCCUACUCCAGUGGGAUUAUGGUCCUGUCUUCACUCAGUGGGACAGU